rnacentral:ribozyme from 13 species
CAAAGUGAAAAAAAAAAAAAAAAAAAAAAAAAAAAAAAAAAAAAAAAA